UAAACUGCGCCAUUCAGUUAUUUCUCCCUUAUCACUCCAUCUCAUGAUCACCAUACUCUCUCCUCUCUCAUUUCUGCUUUGAAUUCUGGACAAAACUAUGGAUCUGUGGUGUGUGCAUGUGAAAAGCAGUGGCUUUAUGCCGAGGAAUUCCUUCUCGGAGAAACCGUUUUGCUGGAGUUCAAAUAAUUAUUCGAUGAAUUCGGACCUCCGAUUGUCCAAGCCAGAAUUUGCGCCGACUAAUUGUAGGCUUCGAUCUGUUUCAGCUAGAGCUAUGGCGAAAAUGAGCUCCGGAAAUUCCAGUAAUUCUAAUUCGAAUUCCUCCUCUUCUGAUUCUGGAGGAAACAAUGAUAAUUUGAAAGCUGGAGGAGAUGGAAACAAUCCUUCUCCCGGAAUCAAGAAAUCAGAUAAUACAAACUCGCAGAAUCCCCAAUGCAAACCCUUGGAUUGGAGAGAGUUUAGGGCUCAGCGGUACUUUCUCGAACAGGCUGAAAAAGAUGAAACAUCACCCGGACUAAAACCUCUUCCCUCCAAGUGGGCACACCCUAUUUCAGCACCCGAAAAUGGCUGCCUCCUUAUUGCUACGGAAAAACUUGAUGGUGUCCGCUCCUUUGAGAGGACGGUAGUGCUUCUUCUCAGAUCUGGAACCAGGAAUCCACAGGAGGGGCCUUUUGGGGUAGUCAUAAACAGACCCCUUCACGAAAAGAUGAAACAUAUGAACCCCAGUGGUAUUGUAUUGGGAAACACGUUUGACGACUGUAGUUUGCAUUUCGGAGGACCCCUCCAUGCCAGUAUGUUUCUGCUAAGAUCUGAGGAAACUACGGGACUUGCUGAUUUUGCAAAGGUCAUUCCAGGGGUAUAUUUUGGUUCCCGAAAUAGUUUGGGUAAAGCAUCGGCAAUGAUCAAAAAAGGGAAACUUCUGUCUCAAGAUUUUACAUUCUUCAUGGGAUACGCGGGAUGGCAGCUGGACCAGCUAAGAGAGGAAAUCGAGUCUGAUUACUGGCACGUUGCUGCAUGUAGUUCCAACUUGAUAUCUUUGGAGUCGCAAAGGCCUCCUCCCGACAACUUGUGGGAAAAAAUUCUGCAACUAAUGGGGGGUCCCUACUCGGAGUUGAGCCGCAAGCCAAAACAGGACAUAUAGUGCUAUCCGAUCAACUUCAACUCAGAUUCAAGAACGUGGAGGGAGCUUGGUCCUAUGUACAGUAUUUAGCUCAAGAUUCUUGAAAGAGCUGCUGGUGGCGUAGGCCAUGGACUGAAUGGUUGGGACUAUCAUUCAUCUUCUUGUUCCAAGAGUAUCCUGCUGUGUUUGGGUGGAUCACAGACUUCGACUGGCUUACCUUUUUGCUUCCCCAUCUCUAGCCCUGGCUCCGAGCUCCUUACUUGAAGGGUACCUCGCCAUUUUAGAUGGCUCACAGGGCAGAGGCAUUGAAGUGAAGAACUGAAACCAAGAGAGGCUCAUGCGUGAGCGGAUGAUUCAAUAUGGUGUUUUUUCAAAAAGAGGGCAAGGAGAGAGUAAUGUAUAUACCUCACUCUUGAGCGCAGAAGAAGCAGUGCCCCGUUCCUGUGGAUCUAUGGAGAGGAGGACUUCGAGAAGAUCCAGCGCAGACGAGGGGAAGUCCUUGAACGUCUGUGAUAUAUUACGUUUGUAGACACGCUGCGAUCUGAAGCUGCUCGCAAGUGGUAACUUCGUCUUUUUCCAGAAGGCUUCUGUUGGCAUGAUAGGCCUCCCUGUGAAGAGCUCAGCAAGAAUGCAACCAACACUCCAUAAAUCAACUUCUGCUCCGUAAUUCGUUGCUCCGAGCAAAAGCUCUGGGGCUCGGUACCACAGAGUCACAACACAGCUCGUUAACUGGCGCUUCUUGCGAGGGUUGAGGACUGUGGCCAAGCCGAAGUCCCCGAUCUUGAGAGAUCCGUUGCUGUCGACGAGGAUGUUUGCACCCUUAAUAUCACGGUGAAGAAUUCCCUGGCUGUGGCAAUGCUCAAGCCCGAGUAAAAUUUGCUGCAUAUAGAAUUUGAUCUGCAUAUGGAAGUAGUUAGUUGAUGGGUGAAAGGUUACUGAGUUUGAAUUUCACUCGCAAGUUUAAUUUGAA